rnacentral:rRNA from 1 species
CCUACGGGAGGCAGCAGUGGGGAAUAUUGCGCAAUGGGCGAAAGCCUGACGCAGCGACGCCGCGUGAGGGAUGAAGGUCUUCGGAUCGUAAACCUCUGUCAGCAGGGAAGAACGGUCACUGUGCUAAUCAGCAGUGAAUUGACGGUACCUGCAAAGGAAGCACCGGCUAACUCGGUGCCAGCAGCCGCGGUAAUACGGAGGGUGCGAGCGUUAAUCGGAAUUACUGGGCGUAAAGCGCUCGUAGGUGGUAUGUCAAGUCAAGGGUGAAAUCCCCGCGCUCAACGUGGGAACUGCCUUUGAAACUGGCAAACUGGAGUGUGGGAGAGGAUAGUGGAAUUCUAGGUGUAGGAGUGAAAUGCGUAGAUAUCGGGAGGAACAUCAGUGGCGAAGGCGACUAUCUGGCAAAUAACUGACGCUGAGGCGCGAAAGCGUGGGUAGCAAACAGGAUUAGAUACCCCGGUAGUC